CAGCCGCCGCGGGAAUACAGAGGUCUCAAGCGUUGUUCGGAUUCAUUGGGCGUAAAGGGAGCGUAGGCGGUCGGGUAAGUUGGAUGUGAAAUCCUGGGGCUCAACCUCAGAACUGCAUUCAAUACUGCUUGGCUAGAGUACUGGAGAGGUGAGUGGAAUUCACGGUGUAGCAGUGAAAUGCGUAGAUAUCGUGAGGAAGACCAGCGGCGAAGGCGGCUCACUGGACAGUUACUGACGCUGAUGCUCGAAGGCCAGGGGAGCAAACGGGAUUAGAGACCCGCGUAGUCCCUGUCUCUUAUAC
rnacentral:rRNA from 1 species